UGUUAUUGUUGGCCACCAGGCGUCACUAGUGGUUAUCCACCACACUGCCCACCUCAUGCUUGAAUAUAAUAACACUCUAUGUACCUCAGUUCCACCACACCGUCUUGGAAACCUCAAUUAGAAAUUAGAAAGGGGUCUAUAUGAAAAACUUACAAAAUAUUAUCCUGAUAAACAUUUUCAUAUUGUGUCUACAAAUAGUCUAUGUAUAGGUAGUUUUUUCCUCUUUAAAGACACUCUGCCAACUGCCUUACGCUCGUCGGCUGUUUAUUGUUUCACUUGUCCCAGCUGCCAGGCUGAGUAUGUGGGUAGCACCUUGCGCUCACUUAUAAACCGAGCCAGCGAGCAUUUAGGCCAGUCUGCCAGAACAGGGCGCCCGCUACACAACGCCCCAUUUUCCGCGAUACGGGACCACUGCCUCUCAUACCACUGAUGAUGACAUAAGAUGAAAUGUCGAAACGUUUGGCCCAUUAAAGAUGCUGCUCGUA